UAAAAAAAUGACCCUUUAAUGUUUUGUAUCUCAUUUUUGAAUUGAGAGACGUGGCUACCUUUCAGGGCACAGUAAGAAGGCAGCCUCCUGCGAACCAGGAAGAGGGGCCUCACCAUGAACCAAGUUGUCUGGCACCAUGAUCUCAGACUUCCAGCCUCCAGAACGGUGUAAUAAUUUUAAACUGUGAAAACAUCACACCAACUCAAAUGGGCUGCAAACCCAAUAUUAACCCUGGUAGACCCCACUGCAGGGACCUGGGCUGCCAGGUGAACACUCAGCUUUGUGCAGGGCUUGGGGGACAGCCUCUCCUGUCAUCUCCAGUGAAAUGCACUCUGAGAAUGCAAGACAAGUCACUCCCAAAAACGGAAUCACAAAUGCGGUAUGCAAAUCGUCACAACAGAAUAUUUUCACAACCACAACAAAGUCCAUUAAUACUCAAGAUGCCACAGCUGUUCAGAUUGCAACUGUCACCCUAUACUUUUCGUUUUGAAAGUUGAAUUCAUCAGAGCAACCUCACUGUCCUCACUGACUGACCUUAUAACUGGUAAAUGUUGUCAGUUUAAAGUCAUAAGAUAAAUGUGAGAAUAAACCAUCACUUCUCUGUUUUGUAUAUUGGAGCAGGGUGGUUUAGCUAUGUAAAAAUUUUAUUUUUGAAAAGACUUCAUUUUGCAGAUGGGAAAACAAACCCAAAGAGAGGUGAGUGUAUCACACUGUCCUGUGAGUAUCAUCCCUUCUCAAUAGGCAGAAACCAGGUGCCCAGCACAUAGCAGACACUCCACAAAUGCCCUAGGGAAGGAAGAACCGCUCCCAGGCACCACAGCCAGGAAGGGGGCAUGCCUCGAACACACGCCUCCCUACUCCCAGCCCACUGCUGGUUUUCAGACUCUGCCGCCUUCCCUCCUUUCCUAGAAAUGACAAUACAGCCCACACUCAGCAUCACAAGGAGGGAGAGAGGGCAAGGCAAGUGCAGUAUAAGAGCCAGGGUGCCUUCCCUCUUCCUCAAGAAAAUACUAGAAGCCAAGCACACCCUCCACCCUGAGCGCCAGUGUGGGAUGGGUGCUAUAUGGACGGGAAGAGCUGCUGUCUGCACUCUAGGAAACAAGGGUCCCCCGCGCUCACCUGUAGAUUCAGCAAGAGAGCAGGGGUGAUUGUGCCUAUCGAAGGGAAGCAACCAAUUGUCAACUAUUUUAGAAACAGCCAAACAGAAUGCAUAACUACAGGAUAAGUGGAGUGAUGGUUAAUAUUGAGUGUCAACUCGAUUGGACAGAAGGAUAGAAAGUAUUGUUCCUGAGUGUGUCUGUGAGGAUCUUACCAAAGGAGAUUCACAUUUCAGUCAGUGGACUGGGAGAGGCAGACCUGCCCUCGGUGUGGGUGGGCACCAUCUCAUCAGCUGCCAGCACAGCUAGAAUAAAGAAGGCAGA
rnacentral:lncRNA from 1 species